rnacentral:tRNA from 1 species
UACAUUUAAGUAUAUGAUGUACAUAAAUUUUUGGUGUUUAAGGAAAUAGUUUAAUUCUAUUAAAUGUAA